ACCUUCGUGGUGUAAUGGUCAGCACACUGAGCCGGUAUUUCAGAGGUCCGCGGUUCGAUUCCCGGCGAAGGCG
rfam:Stegodyphus mimosarum contig22928, whole genome shotgun sequence.